rnacentral:rRNA from 1 species
UACGUAGGGUGCAAGCGUUAAUCGGAAUUACUGGGCGUAAAGCGUGCGCAGGCGGCUUUGCAAGACAGAUGUGAAAUCCCCGGGCUUAACCUGGGAACUGCAUUUGUGACUGCAUGGCUGGAGUGCGGCAGAGGGGGAUGGAAUUCCGCGUGUAGCAGUGAAAUGCGUAGAUAUGCGGAGGAACACCGAUGGCGAAGGCAAUCCCCUGGGCCUGCACUGACGGCUCAUGCACGAAAAGCGUGGGGGAGCAAACAGG